rnacentral:rRNA from 1 species
UGGGGAAUCUUAGACAAUGGGGGAAACCCUGAUCUAGCCAUGCCGCGUGAGUGACGAAGGUCUUAGGAUCGUAAAGCUCUUUCGCUGGGGAAGAUAAUGACUGUACCCAGUAAAGAAGUCCCGGCUAACUCCGUGCCAGCAGCCGCGGUAAUACGGAGGGGACUAGCGUUGUUCGGAAUUACUGGGCGUAAAGCGCGCGUAGGCGGAUUAGCAAGUUGGGGGUGAAAUCCCGGGGCUUAACCCCGGAACGGCCUCCAAAACUGUUGGUCUUGAGUUCGAGAGAGGUGAGUGGAAUUCCGAGUGUAGAGGUGAAAUUCGUAGAUAUUCGGAGGAACACCAGUGGCGAAGGCGACUCACUGGCUCGAUACUGACGCUGAGGUGCGAAAGCGUGGGGAGCAAACA